rnacentral:rRNA from 1 species
AGUGAACGCUGGCGGCAGGCCUAACACAUGCAAGUCGAACGGCAGCGCAGGAGAACUUGCUCUCUGGGUGGCGAGUGGCGGACGGGUGAGGAAUACAUCGGAAUCUGCCUAUUUGUGGGGGAUAACCUCGGGAAACCGGGACUAAUACCGCCUACGACCUACGGGUGAAAGCAGGGGACCUUCGGGCCUUGCGCAGAUAGAUGAGCCGAUGUCGGAUUAGGUAGUGGGAGGGGUAAUGGCCCACCAAGGCGACGAUCCGUAGCUGGUCUGAGAGGAUGAUCAGCCACACUGGGACUGAGACACGGCCCAGACUCCGACGGGAGGCAGCAGUGAGGAAUAUUGGACAAUGGGCGAAAGCCUGAUCCAGCCAUGCCGCGUGAGUGAAGAAGGCCCUCGGGUUGUAAAGCUCUUUUGUUGGGAAAGAAAAGCAAUCGGUUAAUCCCCGGUUGUUCUGACGGUACCCAAAGAAUAAGCACCGGCUAACUUCGUGCCAGCAGCCGCCGUAAGAC